rnacentral:rRNA from 1 species
CCUACGGGAGGCAGCAGUGAGGAAUAUUGGUCAAUGGACGAGAGUCUGAACCAGCCAAGUAGCGUGAAGGAUGACUGCCCUAUGGGUUGUAAACUUCUUUUAUAUGGGAAUAAAAUGUUCCACGUGUGGGAUUUUGUAUGUACCAUAUGAAUAAGGAUCGGCUAACUCCGUGCCAGCAGCCGCGGUAAUACGGAGGAUCCGAGCGUUAUCCGGAUUUAUUGGGUUUAAAGGGAGCGUAGGUGGAUUGUUAAGUCAGUAGUGAAAGUUUGCGGCUCAACCGUAAAAUUGCAGUUGAAACUGGCAGUGUUGAGUAGAGUAGAAGUGAGCGGAAUUCGUGGUGUAGCGGUGAAAUGCUUAGAUAUCACGAAGAACGCCGAUUGCGAAGGCAGUUCACUGGACUGCAACUGACACUGAGGCUCGAAAGUGUGGGUAUCGAACAGGAUUAGAUACCCGAGUAGUC